rnacentral:rRNA from 1 species
GAGUUUGAUCUUGGCUCAGAGCGAACGCUAGCGGCGGGCUUAACACAUGCAAGUCGAGCGCUACCUUCGGGUAGAGCGGCGGACGGGUGAGUAACACGUAGGUCACGUGCCCCUCGGUGGGGAAUAACUCGGGGAAACUCGAGCUAAUACCGCAUACGUCUCCGGAUGAAAGCCUUCGGGCGCCGGGGGAGCGGCCUGCGGCCCAUUAUUUAAUCCUAGUUGGUGAGGUAACGGCUCACCAAGGGUACGAUGGGUAGCUGGUCUGAGAGGAUGAUCAGCCACACUGGGACUGAGACACGGCCCAGACUCCUACGGGAGGCAGCAGUGGGGAGUAUUGGACAAUGGGCGCAAGCCUGAUCCAGCCACGCCGCGUGUGUGAUGAAGGCCUUCGGGUUGUAAAGCACUGUCGGGAGGGACGAAGUCAAUGACGGUACCUCGCAAGAAAGCA